rnacentral:tRNA from 1 species
GGGCGCAUAGCUCAGCCAGGUAGAGCGACAGGCUUUUAACCUGUUGGUCGGGGGUUCAAAUCCCUCUGUGCCCG